GAUGAACGCUGGCGGCGUGCCUAUUACAUGCAAGUCGAGCGCGAGCGUAAGGAGCUUGCUCCUUACAAUCGAGCGGCGGACGGGUGAGUAACACGUGGGCAACCUACCCUUUAGACUGGGAUAACUACCGGAAACGGUAGCUAAUACCGGAUAAGUUGGAUUACAUAAGUAAUCUUAAUGAAAGGCGGAUUUAUCUGUCACUAAAGGAUGGGCCUGCGGUGCAUUAGCUAGUUGGUGAGGUAGUGGCUCACCAAGGCAACGAUGCAUAGCCGACCUGAGAGGGUGAUCGGCCACACUGGGACUGAGACACGGCCCAGACUCCUACGGGAGGCAGCAGUAGGGAAUCUUCCGCAAUGGACGCAAGUCUGACGGGGCAACGCCGCGUGAGUGAAGAAGGGUUUCGGCUCGUAAAACUCUGUUGUUAAGGAAGAAUACUUUAGGUAGUAACUGGCCUAGAGAUGACGGUACUUAACCAGAAAGCCACGGCUAACUACGUGCCAGCCGCCGCAGUAA
rnacentral:rRNA from 1 species